rnacentral:rRNA from 1 species
UACGGGGGGGGCAAGCGUUGUUCGGAAUUACUGGGCGUAAAGGGCUCGUAGGCGGCCAACUAAGUCAGACGUGAAAUCCCUCGGCUUAACCUGGGAACUGCGUCUGAUACUGGAAGGCUUGAGUAUGGGAGAGGGAUGUAGAAUUCCAGGUGUAGCGGUGAAAUGCGUAGAUAUCUGGAGGAAUACCGGUGGCGAAGGCGGCAUCCUGGACCAUUACUGACGCUGAGGCGCGAAAGCUAGGGGAGCAAACGGG